AGAUAGCUUACUUCUCCAGCUCAUCCCAGAAGACAUGUGGGUCAGAGCUCUUCUGCCGGAUCUUCAACAUGUGCUGCACCAGGCGGAUGGAGCGAUUAUAGGAUUUGUCCAGUUCACUGAUGAUGAACAGCAGGUCUGAGCUGAGUGCUGGCACAGCUGCAUACUGCCACAGCAGCACUGGCAGAGGCUUGAGGUUUACUCUAGAGGGAUGAAACCAGAUUAAACUCUGCACUUGAGUCCAUUGAGGGCAGAAGAACUGUACUAAGGAUGCGGCAUCAGCUGGAAGAACACUGACCAAAUUUAAAAACCAUUUCAGUGUCUCUGCUUUGCUGAUGCCUACACUCAUGCAUGGGCUGCCCCUCCAGUCAUCCAGCCCAGCCUUGGAAACCUUGUGAAACCUGUCAGUGUGGGGAGCUGUCUCAUCUCUGAGUCCAUGCAAACAGUGAAUAAAGUGCAGUCUUGGAAGCAACUUACCGGAGGAGAACUCCUGAGCGAAUGCCAGCGACAUCAGCAACAAGGGAAAGCCUACAGCCACAAACUUGACCAUCUGGUCCAGGGGCAGCUCCAGGCGCAGGCCUUUGAGGACAGUGGAUAAUUCUGAACCACAUCUGCCUCACGUGUGCUAACUGGAGUGAUCCAGGCAUGGGGACAUCAGAAGAGAUUGUUUCUAUUUUCCAUCACCUUCUCCAUAUUCUCAUUUUGGUAUCUUUUAAUUAUGUGUGUUUUCCCCAAAUGGUUAUUUUUGGUUUGAAUACAUAUAUAUUCUUUUGCUUCUUAAAAAUAUUUAUAUAUUUUUAAAGCAUAAUAUACAUACAUUAAAAUGCAUUCAAGCAUGCAGUUCAAUAGAUUUUCACCUUGUCAAGAAGCAGAACAUUAUUAGCACCUCAGAAACUGCCUCUGUGCUUCUUUCGAAUAAGUUUUAUUUCCCAAAAGGUGAUCAUUAUCCUAACUUUAAAUAGCAUAGAUUGGUUUUGUAUUUUUUUUUCUUUUGGUACCAGGGAUCAAAC